GCGCGAAAACUUUACAAUGCUGGCAACAGCGAUAAGGGAACCUCGAGUGCCAGGUUACAAAUCUGGCUGUCGAGAUGCCUAAAAAGCAUUUCAUAGCAAGGGCCGGGCAAGACCGGUGCCAGCCGCCGCGGUAACACCGGCGGCUCGAGUGGUAACCGUUAUUAUUGGGUCUAAAGGGUCUGUAGCCGGCCGGAUAAGUCUCUUGAGAAAUCUGGCAGCUUAACUGUCAGGCUUUCAGGAGAUACUGUCUGGCUCGAGGCCGGGAGAGGUGAGAGGUACUUCAGGGGUAGGGUGAAAUCGUUGUAAUCCGUUGAAGGACCACCAGUGGCGAAGGCGUCUCACCAGAACGGACCGUGACGGCAAGGGACGAAACGCUAGGGGCACGAACCGGAUUAGAUAC
rnacentral:rRNA from 1 species